rnacentral:rRNA from 1 species
UGGGGAAUUUUGGACAAUGGGCGAAAGCCUGAUCCAGCCAUGCCGCGUGCAGGAUGAAGGCCUUCGGGUUGUAAACUGCUUUUGUACGGAACGAAAAGACUCCUUCUAAUAAAGGGGGUCCAUGACGGUACCGUAAGAAUAUGCACCGGCUAACUACGUGCCAGCAGCCGCGGUAAUACGUAGGGUGCGAGCGUUAAUCGGAAUUACUGGGCGUAAAGCGUGCGCAGGCGGUUAUAUAAGACAGUUGUGAAAUCCCCGGGCUCAACCUGGGAACUGCAUCUGUGACUGUAUAGCUAGAGUACGGUAGAGGGGGAUGGAAUUCCGCGUGUAGCAGUGAAAUGCGUAGAUAUGCGGAGGAACACCGAUGGCGAAGGCAAUCCCCUGGACCUGUACUGACGCUCAUGCACGAAAGCGUGGGGAGCAAACA